rnacentral:rRNA from 1 species
GACGAACGCUGGCGGCGUGCCUAAUACAUGCAAGUCGAGCGGACGGAUGGGAGCUUGCUCCCAGACCGUCAGCGGCGGACGGGUGAGUAACACGUGGGCAACCUGCCUGUAAGACUGGGAUAACUCCGGGAAACCGGGGCUAAUACCGGAUAACUCUUUCCCUCACAUGAGGGAAAGCUGAAAGAUGGCAUCUCGCUAUCACUUACAGAUGGGCCCGCGGCGCAUUAGCUAGUUGGUGAGGUAACGGCUCACCAAGGCGACGAUGCGUAGCCGGCCUGAGAGGGUGAUCGGCCACACUGGGACUGAGACACGGCCCAGACUCCUACGGGAGGCAGCAGUAGGGAAUCUUCCGCAAUGGACGAAAGUCUGACGGAGCAACGCCGCGUGAGUGAUGAAGGUUUUCGGAUCGUAAAACUCUGUUGUCAGGGAAGAACAAGUACCGGAGUAACUGCCGGUACCUUGACGGUACCUGACCAGAAAGCCACGGCUAACUACGUG